CCACGGGACGCAGCAGUGAGGAAUAUUGCACAAUGGGGGGAACCCUGAUGCAGCAACGCCGCGUGGAGGAUGACGCAUUUCGGUGUGUAAACUCCUUUUAUAUGUCAAGAAAAUGACGGUAGCAUAUGAAUAAGCACCGGCUAACUCCGUGCCAGCAGCCGCGGUAAUACGGAGGGUGCAAGCGUUACUCGGAAUCACUGGGCGUAAAGGACGCGUAGGCGGGUUGGAAAGUCAGGUGUGAAAUCCUACAGCUUAACUGUAGAACUGCACUUGAAACUUCUAAUCUAGAGUAUGGGAGGGGGAGAUGGAAUUAGUGGUGUAGGGGUAAAAUCCGUAGAUAUCACUAGGAAUACCUAAAGCGAAGGCGAUCUCCUGGAACAUUACUGUCGCUAAGGCGUGAAAGCGUGGGGAGCAAACAGGAUUAGAUACCCGGGUAGUC
rnacentral:rRNA from 1 species